GGUUGACUCCAAGUUUCUGACUUAAUGGAGCAGAGAGACAGUGUCCUCCCUAACAGAAUUCAAGGACUUGGAAGGUGGGAGAGAAUCACCAGGAACUUCCAGAUUUAAGAACAAAAUCACGAUGCUACAAUGCAAAACUUCUCAAACUGCUGCUCCAGGCCCCACUCCAGUCUUCCCACAACCACUCCCAAACACACCCUCUCUGUUCCAUUUAGCCUAAUUUUCUCACUGGCCCACGACACAUCAAGUCCAUCCACACCCUGUUCCCUGUCCUACAUCUAUUAAUUCUACCUACCCUUCCAGACCAGGCAGUUUUACCUUCCUCAUUCUUAUCCACUGAGGAUUACCAAGCUCUCCUCUUUAAAUUACUAGUUCUCAGCAAGUGUGGGCAGCAAGAGAAAGAGAUCUGGCUGGUGUCCAGUGUUAUCAAGGCCAGAGGCAGAGAGAAGUGAUUCAGGCUCAGAGAAGUAGCUCAAGGG
ensembl:lncRNA